UGGUGGAGUGAUUUGUCUGGUUGAUUCCGUUAACGAACGAGAUCUCGACCCUUAAAUAGGUUUGCUUCCGUCGACGUCGUCAAAGUUCUAAUUCACCUAGUGUCUAAUAGUCCUUUGGCUAGACAGGACAACACUUCUUAAGGGGACUGCGUGCGCUUAUAGCACGCGGAAGAGCGAGCCAAUAGCA
rnacentral:rRNA from 1 species